GGUCCUGCCUGCCCCCUGACUAACAGUUAAACGGCUACGGUAUUCUGACCGUACAAAGGUAGCGUAAUCACUUGUCUUUUAAAUCAAGACCUGUAUGAAUGGCACCACGAGGGUCGAACUGUCUCCCUAACCCCCCCAGUGAAAUUGACCCCCCCGUGCAGAGGCGGGUCUAAAAACACAAGACGAUAAGACCCCGUGGAGCUUUAGACGAACGGUACAUCCGCCACACAAUAGAACCAGCCUAAAUCUACCCAUAUGUCUUCGGUUGGGGCGACCAAGGGGUAAUAAAAAACCCCCAUGCCCAUCUCCAUUAAAGUCACUCCCGCGAGAGUAACUAACAGAAACUCUGACAUCGACCCGGACCCCCGAUCAACGGACCUAGUUACCCCGGGGAUAACAGCGCAAUCCCCCCCGAGAGUCCCCAUCGAAGGGAGGGGUUUACGACCUCGAUGUUGGAUCAGGGCCUCCUAAUGGUGUAGCAGCUAUUUAGGGUUC
rnacentral:rRNA from 1 species